CUGACAACUGAAACAGGGUGUCGACAGUCAGAGUAGGAGGAGGGCAGAAGUGUGCACUGGAACACCAGAUGUUUGAGGCUGAAAAUUAUAUGGAUGCAGAAUAAAUAACCCCAAAAUAACCUUCUAUCUGUGGUGUCCAGUCCCCCUCCUUGGCCAGGCAUCAAAGCUACGUGUUGUUCGUUUAAAACAUGAACAUCCUGAUCCCAGGACUUUGAAGAUAGGAAUCACCCAUCCCAAACCAGACACACUGCCCACAGUAGCUGAGAAAGAAGCCAAAGGUGGUGAAUGAUUAGCAGAACUGCCAGACAGCUCCAGAGUCUGGACACAGAGUACCAGGAAAACUGUUUCGUGGGGGAAACUCAGACUGAUCAAAAGAGCCGAGGAAGUCCUUUGUGGCCUGUCUACUCCAUGGAAAUAGCUCUAGGAGAGGGAAGACCAGCUGCCUUCAUCAGGAAUUCACAGGUGGCAUUUCUAUGGGGAAUCAGCACAAGGGAAAAGGAGACAUUUCAUUUCUAAGUUAUGGUGGCAUCACAAUCACACCAUUAUUGUAUGGACUGAAGUGCAAGUGGAGGACAAGGGGUUGGGAGAGGAAGUGACUUUAGCAAAUUGUCCUCAAGCUGGUAAGAAGCAGAUCUCUGAGACUUUCUACUGGGAUAUGGAGUUUUGGGGCAAAAAGGAGAAUGGAGAUCAACACUGAUAUUUAUUUAUUCAUUUUUAAAUAUGCACUUUCAGAUAG